UGUGUUUGUGUUGUAGGCGGUGGUGGACUAGAAAAGGCUGAUGGCGGAGGUAGAGGUGAUGGUGAUGGGCAUGAAUAGAUAUUGUAGAUUCUUGUAUAUCAAAGUCUGUUUUAAGUUAGGAUAUUCUGAAGAUAUGAGAUGGUGUUCACGAGCCUAAGGCGCACAUGGAUGCUGAGAAUGAGGAGAAUGCGGAAGAUGAUGAGUCAUUGCUGUCCUGGUUUACCACCACAAGUUUUAUGCUCGCGAGGUGCUCGAUAAAAAUUCUGAAAGAAGAGAAAAUUGGUAAAAAAGGCAUGUUUGGCUCUUGUCUUAGCAAAAUAGUUGUUGCUAUCAUGUUGUUUAAGUGUAGUUGCCUCUUGAAUGGUUUGAUAUAUAUUUUGUGGUCCAAAUAAAAACCAUGUUUCCCA